rnacentral:misc_RNA from 1 species
AACGCAUAUUGUGCUCUUUGGUAUUCCGAAGAGCAUGCUUGUUUGAGUAUCAGUAAACACCUCAACCUCUCUUUUUUGAUAAAAAAAAGGGAGGGUGGACUUGAGCUAUCCCAACGACCUUCACUGGUAGGCGGGCAGCUUGAAAUGCAGGUGCAGCUGGACUUUUAUCUGAGCUAAAAGCAUAUCUAUUUAGUCCUCAUCAAACAGGAUUAUUACUUUUGCUGCAGCUAACAUAAAGGAUAAUUGUCCUCUUUGCUGACUGAUGCAGGAUUUUAUGACACUUUAUGUGUUGUUCAACUCGAUCUCAAAUCAAGUAAGACUACCCGCUGAACUUAA